AAAGGGCCAUAUUGUGAAAAUGGACUUUUUAGUUGCUUGUAUAGUAGUUGCAUUUCUGGAGUACCUGCCCACCCAUCAAGUGUGAUAUUAAACAACCAAGUAAAUCUUUUGUAAUCUGCUUUAAUGUGUCUCAGUCUAUGAUUGGGCAGCUAGGCUCCAAGAUCUUCCAUUGUCACGCGACCAGACUACACGGAAGCACUAUCAUGUCGAGGCCAAAAGCAUCCUCGGUGGCAGCAUGGAGAUGUCCUACUGGUGAACACUAGGAGGCGUAGUGACAGACCACAAUAAUCAAUCUCUCCGGGGCAAGCCUUCGCAGACGAGCGAGUGGUGAAGGAAUGCUGCGACUCGCUGAAGCGGAAUGAGGAAUUAAUGAUAUUAAAAUCUCACCAGCUGAAGUUAAACAUGAAGAUACCAACAGUACUACUAUGAAAGCUAUGUGAUGCUUCUACACACAUUGUCAUGGCGUAGUGCCCGCCACAAAGUACUGUCAACUGUAAAGAGGGUCCUCAUUUUCCGACCAGACCAACCUACGGAGUUCUGUGGUCAUGGAAGGCGCGCGAUGAAGCAAACCACAGGUAAAGCUGAGAAUGAUCAAACGCUCCACUUGCUGCUCUGUGCCGCAACUCCUCAUUGAUGAACUGGGAAAGGGGGAUGGGAAGACGGGAACUGGCGACAAGACGGGUAGCAGAGAAACAAGCCAAGAGACGUCCCUGCUACUGUACCCUCAUUUGUGUGUGUGUGUGUGUGUGUGUUGUUUUUAAUUGGCCACCAGGGAGCACUCCUACCUGCAUGACAAUGAGGAGAUCGAAGACCAAGAUGAAGGAGGCCAGGAAGGCUCUGGAGACCUCAUCGCUGGGCAAGAAGCCUUGGUUCAGGCUGUCCCAGCAGAUCCAGUCGGAAACGAUGGCUAGAACAACCACUGACGUCAGCAAGACGAGCACGGACCUGCGGCACGUUAUGCCAAGUAGAGCGAGAGAGAAAGAUUAUAUUUAUUAAUGAAUUAGAGAGGAAACCAACCUUGAAACAAACAUUUAUUUUCCCUAAAAUCCAAAUGCAUUUAUUACAUCCUGGAAGAGAAGAAAGAGGCGCUACAGAGGGAGUCAACGUAGUGAACAGCAACAUUCAUUAGACAAGUGUUCAUGACAAGAUAAGUGAAGUGUAAUUGUGCAUGCCUUUCUACACACCAUGGUGACUAUAUAUGUCACAUUAACCAACACACAAGGGUUUUUUUCUCCCCAUCAUGUUGUGAUAAAGUUUUUAAACGCUUCCAUUUUAAACUACACUGACAUUUCAUAGAGCGCAGACCAAGGCAGAAACCUCAUUUGGAACAGCAGCACUCACACUGUAGGAUUCUCAUGCACAUGCCUGAAUAAUGUCAUUAUGAUCCAUUCACAGUGAGAAAUAAGGAAACAAUAAAUACAUAAACUUGAUUGUAGUACAAGUACAACAAAAUGAGGUUCACAGCUUUCAGAUGCAUUGAAUAAAAUACUUUUCAAUGAUUCAAGGACUUUAAGUGUCAUUCAACACACAUUUACACAUGAUAUAGAAUAAAAAGAUAGUAAUUUAACAAUUGAACAAGGGAAUUGUAAAUGAAUUUUCAUGUUAAUUUCAUACUGUCAGUGUACAAUGAAAAACAAGUAACUGUUAUACAUGUCUACCUACCUUCUGUAACUGCAUUUUGUGUAUUGACAUGCUCCAUAUAACUAUAUUUACAUGUCCGGAAGCACACUAAAAUAAAUAGUGUAAUGUGGAA